UAAACUAAUAUCAAUGGCAUAAUCAGCUAGCGAGCAAAUAAUAAUGAGUUUCAGAUACCAACAAUUCAAUCAGAACAAGCAUGAAGCAAUAUGAAUAGGUGGUAUCUCGCUAGCUCUUUCUAAGACCACAAAACAUAAAUGUAGAGCACUUUCAAAGAUCAAGGGCUGACUAAACAUUAUAAUUCAUAGCAACGAAGAUCCAGUCAUAGUCAUACUGAAUAUCAAUCAAAAGCAAAGCAUAAAAAUGACAGAGGUGCUCUCUAAUUGGUGCUUAAAUAAGAAGAGGAUGACUCAACAGGAAAAUAAAUAGACAUGCCCUUUGCAGAGGGAAGCAUUGAUUUGCACAGGUGCCAGAGCUCAAGCUUUGAAAACAGAGAUAAUAAUUUUGGGUGGCAUGCUUUCAUUGCCAACGCAAUGACUAAGAGUUCCCAAUAUCUUCCAUGCUAUUCAUGCUAUAGGUGGUUCCC
rnacentral:lncRNA from 1 species